rnacentral:rRNA from 1 species
UACAUGCAAGUCGAGCGAACAGACAAGGAGCUUGCUCCUUUGACGUUAGCGGCGGACGGGUGAGUAACACGUGGGUAACCUACCUAUAAGACUGGGAUAACUUCGGGAAACCGGAGCUAAUACCGGAUAAUAUUUCGAACCGCAUGGUUCGAUAGUGAAAGAUGGUUUUGCUAUCACUUAUAGAUGGACCCGCGCCGUAUUAGCUAGUUGGUAAGGUAACGGCUUACCAAGGCGACGAUACGUAGCCGACCUGAGAGGGUGAUCGGCCACACUGGAACUGAGACACGGUCCAGACUCCUACGGGAGGCAGCAGUAGGGAAUCUUCCGCAAUGGGCGAAAGCCUGACGGAGCAACGCCGCGUGAGUGAUGAAGGUCUUCGGAUCGUAAAACUCUGUUAUUAGGGAAGAACAUACGUGUAAGUAACUAUGCACGUCUUGACGGUACCUAAUCAGAAAGCCACGGCUAACUACGUGCCAGCAGCCGCGGUAAUACGUAGGUGGCAAGCGUUAUCCGGGAAAUUAUUGGGCGUAAAGCGCGCGUAGGCGGUUUUUUAAGUCUGAUGUGAAAGCCCACGGCUCAACCCGUGGAGGGUCAUUGGAAACUGGAAAACUUGAGUGCAGAAGAGGAAAGUGGAAUUCCAUGUGUAGCGGUGAAAUGCGCAGAGAUAUGGAGGAACACCAGUGGCGAAGGCGACUUUCUGGUCUGUAACUGACGCUGAUGUGCGAAAGCGUGGGGAUCAAACAGGAUUAGAUACCCUGGUAGUCCACGCCGUAAACGAUGAGUGCUAAGUGUUAGGGGGUUUCCGCCCCUUAGUGCUGCAGCUAACGCAUUAAGCACUCCGGCCUGGGGAGUACGACCGCAAGGUUGAAACUCAAAGGGAAUUGACGGGGACCCGCACAAGCGGUGGAGCAUGUGGUUUAAUUCGAAGCAACGCGAAGAACCUUACCAAAUCUUGACAUCCUUUGACAACUCUAGAGAUAGAGCCUUCCCCUUCGGGGGACAAAGUGACAGGUGGUGCAUGGUUGUCGUCAGCUCGUGUCGUGAGAUGUUGGGUUAAGUCCCGCAACGAGCGCAACCCUUAAGCUUAGUUGCCAUCAUUAAGUUGGGCACUCUAAGUUGACUGCCGGUGACAAACCGGAGGAAGGUGGGGAUGACGUCAAAUCAUCAUGCCCCUUAUGAUUUGGGCUACACACGUGCUACAAUGGACAAUACAAAGGGCAGCGAAACCGCGAGGUCAAGCAAAUCCCAUAAAGUUGUUCUCAGUUCGGAUUGUAGUCUGCAACUCGACUACAUGAAGCUGGAAUCGCUAGUAAUCGUAGAUCAGCAUGCUACGGUGAAUACGUUCCCGGGUCUUGUACACACCGCCCGUCACACCACGAGAGUUUGUAACACCCGAAGCCGGUGGAGUAACCAUUGGAGCUAGC